rnacentral:rRNA from 1 species
GAUGAACGCUGGCGGCGUGCCUAAUACAUGCAAGUCGAGCGAACAGACGAGGAGCUUGCUCCUCUGACGUUAGCGGCGGACGGGUGAGUAACACGUGGAUAACCUACCUAUAAGACUGGGAUAACUUCGGGAAGCCGGAGCUAAUACCGGAUAAUAUAUUGAACCGCAUGGUUCAAUAGUGAAAGACGGUUUUGCUGUCACUUAUAGAUGGAUCCGCGCCGCAUUAGCUAGUUGGUAAGGUAACGGCUUACCAAGGCAACGAUGCGUAGCCGACCUGAGAGGGUGAUCGGCAACACUGGAACUGAGACACGGUCCAGACUCCUACGGGAGGCAGCAGUAGGGAAUCUUCCGCAAUGGGCGAAAGCUUGACGGAGCAACGCCGCGUGAGUGAUGAAGGUCUUCGGAUCGUAAAACUCUGUUAUUAGGGAAGAACAAAUGUGUAAGUAACUAUGCACGUCUUGACGGUACCUAAUCAGAAAGCCACGGCUAACUACGUG